rnacentral:rRNA from 1 species
AAUCUGGCACCUUCGGUGUCCGAGUUGUAAUCUCUAGAAAUGUUUUCCGCGUUGGACCGCACACAAGUCUGUUGGAAUACAGCGGCAUAGUGGUGAGACCCCCGUAUAUGGUGCGGACGCCCAGCGCUUUGUGAUACAUUUUCGAAGAGUCGAGUUGUUUGGGAAUGCAGCUCAAAUUGGGUGGUAAAUUCCAUCUAAAGCUAAAUAUUGGCGAGAGACCGAUAGCGAACAAGUACCGUGAGGGAAAGAUGAAAAGCACUUUGGAAAGAGAGUUAACAGUACGUGAAAUUGUUGGAAGGGAAACGCUUGAAGUCAGACUUGCUUGCCGAGCAAUCGGUUUGCAGGCCAGCAUCAGUUUUCCGGGAUGGAUAAUGGUAGAGAGAAGGUAGCAGUUUCGGCUGUGUUAUAGCUCUCUGCUGGAUACAUCUUGGGGGACUGAGGAACGCAGUGUGCCUUUGGCGGGGGUUUCGACCUCUUCACACUUAGGAUGCUGGUGGAAUGGCUUUAAACGACCCGUCUU